UACGGGGGGAGCAAGCGUUGUUCGGAUUUACUGGGCGUAAAGGGCGCGUAGGCGGUCGUGUCAGUUCACUUGUGAAAUCUCCGGGCUUAACUCGGAACUGCCAAGUGAUACUGUCGGACUAGAGUACAGAAGGGGCAACUGGAAUUCUCGGUGUAGCGGUGAAAUGCGUAGAUAUCGAGAGGAACACCUGCGGCGAAGGCGGGUUGCUGGGCUGAUACUGACGCUGAGGCGCGAAAGCGUGGGGAGCAAACAGG
rnacentral:rRNA from 1 species